GUAGGUGGCAAGCGUUGUCCGGAAUUAUUGGGCGUAAAGCGCGCGCAGGCGGUCCUUUAAGGUCUGAUGUGAAAGCCCACGGGCUCAACCGUGGAGGGUCAUUGGAAACUGGAGAACUUGAGUACAGAAGAGGAAAGCGGAAUUCCGCGUGUAGCGGUGAAAUGCGUAGAGAUGUGGAGGAACACCAGUGGCGAAGGCGGCUUUCUGGUCUGUAACUGACGCUGAGGCGCGAAAGCGUGGGGAGCAAACAGGAUUAGAUACCCUGGUAGUCCACGCCGUAAACGAUGAGUGCUAAGUGUUAGGGGGUUUCCGCCCCUUAGUGCUGCAGCUAACGCAUUAAGCACUCCGCCUGGGGAGUACGGCCGCAAAGGCUG
rnacentral:rRNA from 1 species